rnacentral:rRNA from 1 species
UACGAAGGGGGCUAGCGUUGUUCGGAAUUACUGGGCGUAAAGCGCGUGUAGGCGGGUCUUUAAGUCAGGGGUGAAAUGCCAAGGCUCAACCUUGGAACUGCCUUUGAUACUGGGAGUCUUGAGUUCGGGAGAGGUGAGUGGAACUGCGAGUGUGGAGGUGAAAUUCGUAGAUAUUCGGAAGAACACCAGUGGCGAAGGCGGCUCACUGGCCCGGUACUGACGCUGAGGAGCGAAAGCGUGGGGAGCGAACAGG